UUCAAUUUGAGCUAAAAAUCAACCAAGGAGGAGGGUGAUAACGUGGUGGCUGAAUUCUUAAGGUAUGAAUAAGGUUCCUUUUCAUUGCUAACAAGUUUAUUUAAAGUUUUAACGGAUUAGAACGGGAAAAUAGCGAUAUAAAUUCGUCCGUUGGCAUUGUGAAUUAUGGAAUGAGAUUUGAAGAGAAUUUUGGAUGAAAAUAAAUGUAGUUCACUUGUAUAAUGUGGAGGAAAAAUGGUUUAAGAUGGCAUGAAAAAUUGUUGGAAAAUGAUUAUAGGAACUUAUGUGAUUUUAAUGUAAUUUUAUGUAAAUAUGGAAAUGAAGUUUUAAAUGUGAAUGGCUAUGUUGGUUGGUGGAUUUGGAGGGAUGUAAGUCCAUAUUAGCAUGAAAGGUUGGUUGUUAAGUUGUUAUGGGAAGUUUUGUGAUUUUAUGGUAGAUUUAUGUAAUUAUGAAAAUGGAAUUGUUAAGGUGUAAAUUAUGAUUAUGGUUGAUGAAAUUGGAAGAUGGAAAUAUGUUAUGAAUAUGUAGGUUGAAGAUUUGAAGUUUUGGGUGAAUUAUGUUUUGGUGGAAAGUUUGUAUAUUUUGUAUAUCUUGUGAAUAUUUCGUAGAAAUGAUAUGAAAUAUUUCCAAAUUAUAUUGUGAUGAUCUAGAUGAUGAAUGUGAAACCAUUGAGGUUAGUUUGGAAAUUGAAGUUGAAAUGAAGGUUAUGACAUUAUGUUGGGAAGAUAGCUAGUUAAGUUAUAUUGUGUUUACAGUGAUUGUUGUUGUUGUUUAUGUUGUUGUUGGGUUGUUGUUGAUUGUUUUGGCCGAGUUAAAUUCUCGGGGAUGCUAUAUGUAUAGGGGAGAUGCUGCCCAAAUUUCUGUAGGCAAUUAUGAAUAAAGAUUGAAUACUUAAAGAUUGGAAAUUGAGAAUUGGUAAAUGUGACCAAUUGCAGAUUUUGGGCGAAACGGGAAUUGAAUUUGGAAAGGCGUAAAGAGCAUACAAGGUACAAACGACAGGUUUGCUGAUCCGCCCGCUUAGGACUUUAUUCUGCUAUUUUGGAGCGCUCCUUUAUCCGGAGCCCAUAUUUUGGUACAGUCUUCUGCUAUCGUAUAUAUGUACAUUAUUCAGGGGUACGACGGGGCCCUGUCCCGUCUUAUGAUUCUGUUAUGUUCUGUAGAGGUCUGUAGACAUACUUGUGUGGGUUCUGUAUAUGUUUUGGAUGAUAUGAUCUGUGACAGCCUUAUCGGCUUCCAUGUACUAUGUCGGUUCAUUUAUGAUAAUUACUAACGCCAA